GAUGAACGCCGGCGGUGUGCCUAAUACAUGCAAGUCGUACGCACUGGCCCAAGUGAUUGAUGGUGCUUGCACCUGAUUGACGAUGGAUCACCAGUGAGUGGCGGACGGGUGAGUAACACGUAGGUAACCUGCCCCGGAGCGGGGGAUAACAUUUGGAAACAGAUGGUAAUACCGCAUAACAACAAAAGCCACAUGGCUUUUGUUUGAAAGAUGGCUUUGGCUAUCACUCUGGGAUGGACCUGCGGUGCAUUAGCUAGUUGGUAAGGUAACGGCUUACCAAGGCGAUGAUGCAUAGCCGAGUUGAGAGACUGAUCGGCCACAAUGGAACUGAGACACGGUCCAUACUCCUACGGGAGGCAGCAGUAGGGAAUUUUCCACAAUGGGCGCAAGCCUGAUGGAGCAACACCGCGUGAGUGAAGAAGGGUUUCGGCUCGUAAAGCUCUGUUGUUGGAGAAGAACGUGCGUGAGAGUAACUGUUCA
rnacentral:rRNA from 1 species